UCGAGGGGGUUGGGGUUUGCCUUAGUUGGCCGGUUCCGCCCGGGUUUGGAGGGGUCGCGGACGCGUGGCUCUUUUAAAUUUCGAACGCGCGUCACUUUCCCACCUUUUGCCGCUUUGAGCGCCUGAGCGCCAGCUCAGGUGCGGCCGGUGUAGCAGACGAAGGGGUCAGCUGACCGGCCGGGCCAAUGGGUGCGAGCGAGAGCGAGUGAGGCGAGCGGGGGACAGCGGCCGGACGCUGGACCUCGGUCACUCGGAGAGCGACACUGCUGAGAGAGCGGUCUGAGGGGUCUGCCUCGGAGAGACCCAAGCACCUGCCAACUAUGUUGUUUUUCUGACAUCCGUGCACCACCCGCACAUUGUGCUUGGGUCUUUUAGUGUUACCGCGUUUUGGUACUCACUUUGAGCUUUUCCCGUUUGGGUUUCUCGCCUAUGGCGUUGCUGCGCUGUUGCGCUCUGGUCUGCGGGAAGGUGGGCUAGGCCCUCAAAUUCACCGGCGGUCCGCCCGUGACGUCGCCGGCAGCAUGACGUGUGUGACGUUGUUGUCGUCUCCGCCCGCCCCGCCGGGGCCGGGUCGGUUGUUUUGGAAGCACUCUCCAUCACCGCAUUUGUUACUCGUGUGAGUUUUUGGUUUCUGUAACCUCGUUUCAAUGAAUUAGUAUCUUUCUGGUUCCGCGGCGGUACGUUCAGUUCUGUUUAACUUUUGCGCUUUGCUUCACUCCUUUGUUGGUGUCUCGGGGAGGGCGCGGGUGUCGGCGAGGCCCUUGCACGUUGUUGUAUGCGGCGUGCCCGGCUGGCUCCCCCUCCCUCCUCGUUGCACUUGGGUUUAGUUUUUGUCCUUCAGGGAUAUGCGCUUUUUGAAGUUUCGUAUGACGUACCGUCCGCGGACCGGUUGGGUUGCCUGCCCUCCCGGCGCGUGUUUAAGGGGUUGCCUAACUGUCAGUCAGUUUUCUGAGUUAGUUCUAGAUAUUCGAUUUGUAUAACUUCUGAUGUAAGUUUAUGUUAUCUAGUCCUUGUUGGAACGGCAUCCUUUUCUGUGUGUUUUGGGAAACACCUUUAGUAAUAUCUUUUGUAUCGACCAGCUGCUAUUUAUCGCCUUGUGUGUUGUCACUCUAGUCUUUGUUUUAAUAAAGAAACUUUGCUACAUUGUA